UACAGAGGUCCCAAGCGUUGUCCGGAUUUAUUGGGCGUAAAGAGCGUGUAGGCGGCCAGGUAGGUCGGUUGUGAAAACUGGAGGCUCAACCUUCAGACGUCGACCGAAACCAUCUGGCUAGAGUCCGGGAGAGGAGAGUGGAAUUCCUGGUGUAGCGGUGAAAUGCGCAGAUAUCAGGAGGAACACCGAUUGCGAAGGCAGCUCGCUGGGACGUUACUGACGCUGAGACGCGAAAGCGUGGGGAGCAAACAGG
rnacentral:rRNA from 1 species